rnacentral:lncRNA from 1 species
CGGCAUGCCCCGCAAGCGGCCGUUCAGCGCCAAGCAGAAGCGGCUGCAGCUCCGCGACCGCCGGCAGCGCAAACGCGGCGAUGCCUCCCCGGGGCCGGAUCCGACCCCGCGCAGCCGCAGCGUCAGCGCCGAAAGGAGCGGCGAUGCGGCACAGAGUGCGGGGGAUGGGGGAGAAACGGCGCGGCGCCGCGAUCCCGGCAGCGCUGUGCCCCCCCAG